AAGUUGCUAGUUUAAUAAAAAUACUUGAUUUCGGCUCAAAAACUUGUGGUUAAAGUCCACAGCAACUUU
rnacentral:tRNA from 1 species